rnacentral:pre_miRNA from 1 species
CGGUGCUCGGUUUGUAGGCAGUGUAAUUAGCUGAUUGUACUAUGGUGCUUACAAUCACUAAUUCCACUGCCAUCAAAACAAGGCACAGC